CCAUUACAGGUGUUGCAUGGCUGUCGUCAGCUCGUGUCGUGAGAUGUUCGGUUAAGUCCGCUAACGAGCGCAACCCUCGCUGUGUGUUAUAUGUGUCACACAGGACUGCUGGUAUUAAGCCGGAGGAAGGUGGGGACGACGUCAAGUCAGCAUGACCUUUAUAUCCAGGGCUACACACACGCUACAAUGGCCGGUACAGACGGACGCAAAGCCGCGAGGUGGAGCAAAUCCUAAAAAGCCGGUCUCAGUUCGGAUUGCAGGCUGCAAUUCGCCUGCAUGAAGUCGGAAUCGCUAGUAAUCGCAGGUCAGCAUACUGCGGUGAAUACGUUCCCGGGCCUU
rnacentral:rRNA from 1 species